UACGUAGGGUGCGAGCGUUAAUCGGAAUUACUGGGCGUAAAGCGUGCGCAGGCGGUUUUGUAAGCCAGAUGUGAAAGCCCCGGGCUCAACCUGGGAAUGGCAUUUGGGACUGCAAGGCUGGAGUUUGGCAGAGGAGACUGGAAUUCCUGGUGUAGCAGUGAAAUGCGUAGAUAUCGUAAGGAAGACCAGUGGCGAAGCGGGUCUCGUGGACAGUUCCUGACGCUGAGGCACGAAGGCCAGGGGAGCAAACGGG
rnacentral:rRNA from 1 species